UUCACUGUUUCUCUCAAAGGGUACGUUGUACAACUGCUUCAUCCUUAUUUUAUGUUUCUCUAGGUGUUACGCCACGGCCAGCAGAGGGCACUGCGGUACGGCCGCUGACUGGUCACGUGACUCUUUUGUUUUCGUUCACUUCCCGCUUGGACACUGAGUUAAGUUUGAGUAUGUCUCUGAUUUGCCACAGGUGCCCAUGUUUUGAGUUAAUUAAGUUUGUUAUUUAAAACCCCCCGGGUGACUGCGCACAUCGCGCAGUAUUAAAGUUGGUUUAGUUCGUCAAGUGAGGGAAGUAUACGGGUAUGUGCUAAUGUGUAGCAUGCUAGCGGUCGUAGCUAGGGGACCAGAGUGAGUAUAGUCCGUAGAGACCGCGCUCCCUGUGUUAGUUUAUCUGUUUGUUUGUUUCUUGUUUAAAUAAUAAAGACGGUGACCUGCACCUGCAUCCGCCUCCAGUCCCGAUCCGUGACAAAAUACUGCGCCAAAAAUGCGGAAGCAGCAGGUCGCUAUGAGCGCCGCCGAAGAGGCCAGUAUUUGGGCGCUUCUCCGUUCGUCCCUGGAGUUGAGCAAACAGCUCGCAGAGGACAUUUCUCAGUGCAAAGCCGAGCUGCGCGCCACGUCGUCCCUCGCGCCAUAUACCCAGAAAUUUUUUUGGGGGGGGGCAGUGAGGACAGCAGAGCUCCAGCCUGAGGCCUAUGGGGAGGUCUCAGCUGUGGAGCUCUCACCUGAGGUCAACAUGGCGACCUCAGAGGGACAGGCUGAGGAGGCUGCCCCGCUGCCCUGCACAGCCAAGGAGGCCGCCCUGCUGCCCAGUCCAGCUGAGGAGGCCGUCCCGCUGCCCUGCACGGCCGAGGAGGCCGUCCCGCUGCCCUGCACGGCCGAGGAGGCCGUCCCGCUGCCCUGCACGGCCGAGGAGGCCGUCCCGCUGCCCUGCACGGCCGAGGAGGCCGUCCCGCUGCCCUGCACGGCCGAGGAGGCCGUCCCGCUGCCCAGCACGGCCGAGGAGGCCGUCCCGCUGCCCCGCCCGGCCCGAGGAGGCCGCCCAGCCCUCCAGUGCCGCCGAGGGUGGCACCCAGAGUUCCAGAGCUGCCGGGGGUGGCGCCCAGCAUCCCAGGGGCGGUGUCCUGCGUCCCAGUGCCGCCAGGGGCGGUGCUCUGGCUUUCAACCCUGGUGGGGAUGCUGCUCUGCUCCUCUGCUGCCCGACGGAGGCUGCUUCGCUUUCUGUCGUAGCGAAAGACAGUUCGCACAGGGGCCCGGGACCCCUGUUGGAGGGGGGUUCUUGGUGCUCCGGGGGGAGCACCCUUUGGAGGGGGGUUCUGUUACGCCACGGCCAGCAGAGGGCAAUGCGGUACAUCUGCUGACUGGUCACGUGACUCUUUUGUUUUCGUUCACUUCCCGCUUGGACACUGAGUUAAGUUUGAGUAUGUCUCUGAUUUGCCACAGGUGCCCAUGUUUUGAGUUAAUUAAGUUUGUUAUUUAAACCCCCUGGGUGACUGCGCACAUCGCACAGUAUUAAAGUUGGUUUAGUUCGUCAAGUGAGGGAAGUAUACGGGUAUGUGCUAAUGUGUAGCAUGCUAGCGGUCGUAGCUAGGGGACCAGAGCGAGUAUAGUCCGUAGAGACCGCGCUCCCUGUGUUAGUUUAUCUGUUUGUUUGUUUCUUGUUUAAAUAAUAGACGGUGACCUGCACCUGUAUCUGCCUCCAGUCCCGAUCCGUGACACUAGGACUCUGGUGUGAUUUGCACUCUGCCUUGGACACUUUACAGAUUGCAAAUGAAGUUUAUUUCCCCAGUAUGUAUCCUGCAGGAUACAAACAAUCACCCUUGUCCUGCAGAAUUUCAGAUCUAUCCUGCACAAAAGUCCUGCAGGAAGAGUGUGUUUUAAAUAGACCUGCAUUACAAAAUUCCUGGAGGAUAUCAUUCCUGCAUAUAAUUUUUUCCUUCAUAGAAAUCCUGCAGGUAUUUCUACAGGAAAAUGAGCUGAAAAUCCAGUAGGAUAUACGCAUAAUAUUCCUGUAGGGUUUUUUGUAAGGGCUGCUCAAAUAACCCAACUGUGAAUUAGUACUCCAAAUGAAAUACAAUAACGCAGGUUAAUUAAAAGAGUAUCUUGUAGAUCUUUCAAAAAUUAUUUGCAAUUCUAAACUCCAGCUCCAGUGAACACUUAAAGCCUCCAAGGCAAGGGAUUGACAUAAACAGAAGCAAAUGUUUUAGCAAAUGCAUUUUUCUGAAUAACUAGAGACAGAAAUGGUGACAAAUAAAUAUGCAGGGGUUAUCUCAGAUCAACUAAACUGCAGUCGAGUUGUUGAUAGGGCUUUGUUUUUCACCUGGAGAGACAAUUUAGCAAGUGCAGAGCAACCUAAUAGCCAGAUACACAAUUAUAUGCUGGGCUGACCACACGCCAGUAUACUCAGUUCAUGUUCUAUGUAUGUAUUCAAAUUUCUGUGAAAAAUCUCCAUAUGUGGACAAAAUGAGACACUGAAUGAAUGUAGAGGGAUCAAUAGACAGGAAAAAGCUGAAGCUCGAGGACACUUUGUGCUCUGAGCUAAAGGCUGCAGCUUUACUCAAUGUUACUUUAGUGAGACGUAACUCUGAUUAUUUUAGUUUUAUUGGUAGAGCUAUGCUGCUUUUAACCUUGGCAUAUAGAGUGCCCUCCAGUAAUAUUGGCAUCCUUGGUAAAUAUGAGGAAAGAAGGCUGUGGAAAAAUUAUCUUUAGUAUUUAAACUUUUGAUCUUUUGUUAAAAAAAAUCACAAAAAUUCUCUGCUCUCAUGUAUAUCAAACAAUUGCAAACACAUCACAGGUUUAUCAAAAAUAUCUUUGUUAAAUAUCGGUGUGAAACAAUUAUUAGGACCCUUUAAGUCAAUACUUAUCUGUUUUCAUUUAAUAUCUGUUGAUAUUUGAUGGUCCAUGAUGCCAUGCAUCCUAACAAAAUGUCCAGGUCCUCUGGCAGAAAAACAACAUCAAAACAUUAUAGAGACACCAUAUUUAAUCAUGGACAUGAGGUACUUUUCCAUAUGGUUACCUCUCUGUGUGCACCAAAACCACCUCUGGUGAUUAUUGCUUAAAAGCUCUAUUUUGGUUUCAUCUGAAAAUAGAACCCGAUCCCAUUUGAAGUUCCAAUAGUGAACUGAAGAUGCUUGAGUUUCUUUUUGGAUGAUAGUAGAGGCUUUUUCUUAAAACCCUUCCAAACAACUUCUGGUGAUGUAGGUGACUUAGGAUUAUAGUUUUGGAGAUUUUCUGACCACAAGAUGCAACUGAUUUCUGCAGUUCACCAGCUAUGAUCCUUGGAGAUUUUUUGGCCAAUCAAACCAUCCUCUUCACAGUGUGUUGAGACAAUAUAGACACACGUCCAAUUCCAUGUUGAUUCGUAACAUUUCCAGUUGACUGGAACUUCUAAAUUAUUGCCCUGAUGGUGGAAAUGGGUAUUUUCAAUGCUUGUGCUAUUUUCUUAUAGCCACUUCCCGUUUUGUGAGGCUCAACCACCUUUUACCACACAUCACAGCAAUAUUCCUUGGUCUUACCCAUUGUUAUGAACUACUAACGGAGCUUAGCCUAUGUGUUACCUCAUACUUAUACCCCUGUGAAACAGGAAGUCAUGGUUGAACAAUUUCCUGUUCCUAGUCACCCAGGUGUACUAAAAAAAAUUAAGAAUAUCAAUCAAAUAUAGAAUAUACUUCAUAUAUAUUUUUCUGAUAUGAAUUCAUAGGGAUGGCAAUAAUUGUUGCACACCUAUAUUUAACAAAGAUAUUUUUGGGAUAAACCUGUGUUUUGUUUGCAAUUGUUUGAUAUCCAUGAGUGCAGAGUAUUUUUGUGAAUUUUUUUAACAAACAUCAAAAGAUUAAACAAUAAAGACAAUUUUUCACAGCCUUCUUUCUUCAUAUUUACCAAGGGUGCCAAUAUUAGUGGGGGGCACUGUACACAAACAACAGUGAAACCACUGCCAGGUGAAGCAAAUUGAUUAUCUUGUUACAAUGGCACCUGUCAAGGGGUGGAUUAUAUUAGAUAGCAAGUGAACAGUCAGUUCUCAAAGAUGAUGUGUUGGAAGCAGGAAAAAUGGGCAAGCUUAAGGAUCUGAGAGACUUUUACAAGGGCCAAAUUGUGAUUGCUAGAAGACUGAGUAAGAGCAUCUCCAAAAUGGCAGGUCUUGUGGGGUGUUCCCGGUAUGCACUGGUUAGUACCUACCAAAAGGUACAAGGAAGGACAACUGGUAAACCGGCAACAGAGUCAUGAGCACACAAGGCUCAUUGAUGCACGUGGGGAGCAAAGGCUAGCCUGUCUGGUCCGAUCCCACAGAAGAGCUACUGUAGCACAAAUUUCUGAAAAAGGUAAUGGUGGGUAUGAUAGAAAGGUGUCAGAGCAGCUUUCUGCAGCGUAGCCACAGAACAAAUGGAGUGCCCAUGGUGACCCCUGUCCACCACCAAAAGCACCUACAAUGGACAUGUGGGCAUCAGAACUGGAUCAUGGAGCAAUGGAAGAAGUUGGCCUGGUCUGAUAAUGUGUCUGAUAACAUAAUGGUGGACAGCUGGGUGCAUGCGCAUUGCUUACCUGGGGAAGAGAUAGUGGCACCAGGAUGCACUAUGGGAAGAUAGCAAGCCAGCACAGGCAAUGUGAUGCACUGGGUAAUGUUCAGCUGGGAAUCCUUGUGCCCUGGCAUUCAUGUGACUGUAGCUUUGACACAUAUCAGUUACCUUGACACUGUUGCAGAUCAUGUACACUCUUUCAUGGCAAUGGUAUUCCCUAAUGGCAGUGACCUCUUUCAGCAGGAUAAUGUGCCCUGCCACACUGCAUUCUGUGCAUAGCACUUGGUAUAUUCUAGUAAUGUGAUAGUGUGCCUUGUUCCUGGAGAUCAGUCUUCCCACAGAAUUCUUAAUCCUUAAGCUAACAAAGCUGACACAACUAAUCAAGGAGACUGACUAACUGGAACAGUUUUGGAUUUUUUAGAACUGAAUUUUGUAGAAAAGUUUUAGGAGCAAUAUUUACUGAUCUAGUGCAUGAAACUGUAAUAGUUUAUAUGUAUUAUAUGUAUGCAUAAGUAAUUCAAAUAUGUUUUAAUGCCCUGUUAUUUAAAGCAAUGUUGGGUAGCCUAUCUAUUUUUUCUUAGGCUUUGUUCUAUCUCAGUGUCCUUAUUAAAUUUUAAUAUUUCCAUAAAUAUUUCCAUAAAUAUUUCCAUAUUCAUCACUUCAGACCAGCAGAUAGAUUCAGGUAUAUUGAAACAUCAGAUAAAACUGCGACAAUUGAACUUGGCAGCAUUUAUUUUAUGGCCUCAUAAGUGAAGGUCAAUACUCAUGUUCUUAAGCCAUUGAAAUGGAAGUGGUUGGUAGAAGUAACAUGACUUAAUUCAUGUGACAUCAUACAAGGGGGUGUGGUCAACAUCAAACAGGAUGUUGACCUAAAAUCUUUGGGUAGGAAAUUUUUUUAUAUAUAAUCAUGAGGCAUAUAUACAUAAAAAAGCAUAAAGUUAUUACAAACCAUGUACAUCUGUUUAUAAGGGUUGUGGUGGUUUUCUGCUAUGAAUUUUAAUUAAUCUGUUCUUAUGGAAUUCUAGAAAAUACUUAAUAUUUUGUAAACCCUAUUAUUUUUUUUAUAUUGCUCUAAGAAAUUAAAUAAACUGUUACUCA